rnacentral:rRNA from 1 species
CAGUCGCCGCGGGAACACGAAGGGGGCUAGCGUUGUUCGGAUUUACUGGGCGUAAAGCGCACGUAGGCGGACUUUUAAGUCAGGGGUGAAAUCCCGGGGCUCAACCCCGGAACUGCCUUUGAUACUGGGAGUCUUGAGUUCGAGAGAGGUGAGUGGAAUUGCGAGUGUAGAGGUGAAAUUCGUAGAUAUUCGCAGGAACACCAGUGGCGAAGGCGGCUCACUGGCUCGAUACUGACGCUGAGGUGCGAAAGCGUGGGGAGCAAACAGGAUUAGAUACCCGAGUAGUCCCUGUCUCUUAUAC